UUUAGGGAGACCUACACCCCUCAGAUAUCGAAAGCACAAAGCAAAUAGAUAAUGAGUUGGUUAUUUCUAGGUCGGUCGAGGUUGGUAAUAGCUUUCAAAGUAUCUCUGGUUCGGUUCAUAAGUUAAGUUACAGUAUAGAUUAGGAAAGAAGCCAGCAAUUGAUUGUGAGAGCAACCGAACUGCUGGGUGAGAAUCCAGCCAGAACCUUGAAAACUGCAUAGUAACGCGAAAAAAGCAGGCAGACACAGACAUGAAAAUGAAAGUGUUUGCCAGUUGGAAAAACCAAUGGUUUAAGU
rnacentral:misc_RNA from 1 species